rnacentral:rRNA from 1 species
GAUGAACGCUAGCGGCAGGCUUAAUACAUGCAAGUCGAACGGUAAGGUCUCUUCGGAGAUACACGAGUGGCGCACGGGUGAGGAACACGUACACAAUCUACCUUAUACUGGAGGAUACGCCCCGGGAAACUGGGAUUAAUACUCCAUAGUCUUUAGUAUUCGCAUGAAUAUUUAAUUAAAGAUUUAUCGGUAAAAGAUGGCUAUGCGUCCUAUUAGUUAGUUGGUAAGGUAAUGGCUUACCAAGACUUUGAUAGGUAGGGGUCCUGAGAGGGAUAUCCCCCACACUGGUACUGAGACACGGACCAG